rnacentral:rRNA from 1 species
GACGUAGGGCGCGAGCGUUGUCCGGAUUUAUUGGGCGUAAAGAGCUCGUAGGCGGCUUGUUGCGUCGUCCGUGAAAACUUGGGGCUCAACCCCAAGCUUGCGGUCGAUACGGGCAGGCUAGAGUUCGGUAGGGGAGACUGGAAUUCCUGGUGUAGCGGUGAAAUGCGCAGAUAUCAGGAGGAACACCGGUGGCGAAGGCGGGUCUCUGGGCCGAUACUGACGCUGAGGAGCGAAAGCGUGGGGAGCGAACAGG